UACGGAGGGUGCAAGCGUUAAUCGGAAUUACUGGGCGUAAAGCGUGCGCAGGCGGUUUGUUAAGUCUGUUGUGAAAUCCCCGAGCUCAACUUGGGAAUUGCAAUGGAUACUGGCAGGCUGGAGUAUGGUAGAGGAAGGUGGAAUUCCCGGUGUAGCAGUGAAAUGCGUAGAGAUCGGGAGGAACACCAGUGGCGAAGGCGGCGAUCUGGGAAGAUACUGACGCUGAGGUGCGAAAGCGUGGGGAGCAAACAGG
rnacentral:rRNA from 1 species